ACAUGUAUUUUCAUUUGCAUGUGUAUCUUUGCUUAUGACUGAUCCCCAAAAAUGUUCCUUAGGUUAAAAUACAGCAAGAAAGACAAUAGCAGCAAGGCAUGCGACACCUGACCUGGCAUUAUAGCUGGGCCCUGGUGUCCUCCUCUCGAAUAUGAACAAUGUGACAGAAAACAACUUUCAGGCAAGGCCACCCUGGAACCAUGAUAGAGCAAGACAAGAACAAGUACUCUCCAAGUUCAUGGCUGGGCACAAACAAAACAAACACAUUGUUCAGGUCACAAAGACCAACACCCUCAUGCUAGCUACUCUGAGCAGCUGCUGUGGUUUUACCAAUCACUCCUUUAGCCUCAAUUAUUUCCUCUUGCUGUCUAGAUAAAGAUGUUGGAUUACAGUGCCUCCACUUUUUGACAGCAUCCAGAGCCAAACCUUAGGCCCUUCCUCCAACAUGUUGAACCACCCUUGUAUCCUUGGAAUGAAUCCCACUUGAUCACGGUACACCAAAUGUACACCUAUUUCUAGAGCAAUUCCUGCUGAAGAAGAACUGAGGGAUGACUGAACAGUUUCCGCAAUGGAAGGUAGAGAGACUGCAUAAAGAAUGGCAAAAUGAUGGAGACAAAGUAAUCCUCACCUCUGAAACUGAACUGCAAUGGGAAGGGAUAGUUCUGAGGGGCUCUAAGCAGAUUUUUCUGCCCUGGGGCAUAGAAAAUAAACAACAA